AUUUCGGCAGUGUACCCGCCCAAAUUCUCCCUCAUUUUUUUCUUUGGUGCUCUUCGCUUUCGCGUGAUAGUUCCUCUGGUCUUUCGUUCCUAGACUGUAUUAAUACCAGGAAUUUUAACUAUGAAAAACAGCAAGGGGAAGGGAGCAGUUGAUGAUCGAAUGGCUGGCAAGCGAAAGGCUGCUGCUCUAAAGGCUGACAAGAGCAGUGCAAAAAUGACCAAGAAGGCGAGGAAUGCCAAGAAAGAUCCCAACAAACCAAAAAGACCGCCCAGUGCUUUUUUUGUCUUCCUUGAGGAAUUCAGAAAGGCCUUUAAGGCAGAAAAUCCUAAUGUGAAGGCUGUAUCAGCUGUGGGGAAAGCUGGAGGAGAGAAAUGGAAAUCUAUGACCACUGCUGAGAAAGCUCCAUAUGAAGCCAAGGCUGUAAAAAAGAAAUCUGAGUUUGAAAAACUCAUGAAGGCAUAUAAUAAAAAGCAGACAAACUCAGGAGAAUCAGAUAAGUCGAAGUCUGAAGUGAAUGAUGAAGAGGAUGAAGCCAGUGGAGAGGUAGCCUCACCAGAUCUGGAUUCUCUCAUUUGAAGGAAUAACAUGAUAUUGUUGUGUGAGAAAAGAGAUAGACACAAUAUAUGUAACUCACGUAUGUUGGGGUCCACUAUUCAAGUGGGGUCCACUACUCAAGAAACGCACCAAGAAGAGGAGGAUGAAGAAGAGAAUGAUGAAGACGGGGACGAUGAAGAGGAUGACUGAGAAUGGUGCUCACAGCUUAGUUCAUGAUGUCUCUUUUGUUAGGAGGCUACUACAUAGCAGUUCAUGUUCGCUAAUUACUGCGCUACUAUAUGUUAGUUCUUGUGCUUAAGUUCAACAUUUCUUAGUAGAAAAGUGUUGGCUUAAAAGCACCAUAGUUUUCUUUUAGAUUAUCAAAUCGGUGCUUACUUAUGUAGCCAAAAUGUCAAUGUAUUUUGCACGUAAAGAACUUGGUAUGAAUGAAAGUUGAAGUUUAACCAAGUAGUUCUGUAAAAUGCUUGUGGCAGAUAUACAAUACAGAAAUUGGAAUACCUUCUCUGUCUUGGCUUUUCAAA